ACGAACGCUGGCGGCGUGCUUAGCACAUGCAAGUCGAACGGUGAAGCGCCUUCCUUUUUGGUGGGUGUGGAUGAGUGGCGAACGGGUGAGUAACACGUGAGUAACCUGCCCCCUUCUUCUGGAUAACCGCAUGAAAGUGUGGCUAAUACGGGAUAUUCUGGGUCUGUCGCAUGAUGGGUCUGGGAAAGAUAUUGUUUCGGUGGGGGAUGGGCUCGCGGCCUAUCAGCUUGUUGGUGGGGUGAUGGCCUACCAAGGCGGUGACGGGUAGCCGGCCUGAGAGGGUGGACGGUCACACUGGGACUGAGACACGGCCCAGACUCCUACGGGAGGCAGCAGUGGGGAAUAUUGCACAAUGGGCGCAAGCCUGAUGCAGCGACGCCGCGGGAGGGAUGGAGGCCUUCGGGUUGUGAACCUCUUUCGCCAGUGAAGCAGGCCUGCCUCGUUUGUGGGUGGGUUGACGGUAGCUGGAGAAGAAGCGCCGGCUAACUACGUG
rnacentral:rRNA from 1 species